rnacentral:rRNA from 1 species
CAUGAAGCUGGAAUCGCUAGUAAUCGCGGAUCAGAAUGCCGCGGUGAAUACGUUCCCGGGUCUUGUACACACCGCCCGUCACACCAUGGGAGUCGGGAAUGCCCGAAGCCGGUGACCGAACCGCAAGGACGGAGCCGUCGAAGGCAGAUUCGAUAACUGGGGUGAAGUCGUAACAAGGUAUC